AUGCCGGCAACCUGGAGGAGCCGUGGCGUUUGGCGGAUGGCUUGCUCCUGCAUGGGCGCCGUCUCUUCGUGCCAGAUCACUGCGACCUCAGUCACCAGGUUCUGCUGCUGGCACACUCAGCCAGCCACGAGGGUGUGCAAAAGACCCUCCACCGUCUCCGCGCUGAUUUCUACAUCCCCGGCGAUCGGGUCCUGGUCCGGGACUAGGUGCGGUCUUGUGUUACAUGCCAGCGUAACAAGACGGAGACGCUGCGGCCGGCUGGUCUGCUAUAGCCCUUGGAGGUGCCUUCUGAGGUCUGGGCUGAUAUCUCCAUGGACUUCAUCGAGGGCCUCCCCAAGGUGCGGCAAGUCCGUCAUCCUCAUGGUGGUCGACCGCUUCUCCAAGUACGCGCACUUCAUCGCGCCCGGCCAUCCCUACACUGCCGCCUCCGUGGCCCGGGCCUUCUUCGACAACAUCGUCCGCCUCGACAGGUUUCCCUCUUCGAUCGUCAGUGACCGGGACCCGGUGUUCACGUGGCAUGUCUGGCGCGAUCUCUUUUAG
rnacentral:rRNA from 1 species